rnacentral:rRNA from 1 species
AGUGAACGCUGGCGGUCGGCCUAACACAUGCAAGUCGAACGGCAGCACAGUAAGAGCUUGCUCUUACGGGUGGCGAGUGGCGGACGGGUGAGGAAUACAUCGGAAUCUACUUUUUCGUGGGGGAUAACGUAGGGAAACUUACGCUAAUACCGCAUACGACCUACGGGUGAAAGCAGGGGAUCUUCGGACCUUGCGCGAUUGAAUGAGCCGAUGUCGGAUUAGCUAGUUGGCGGGGUAAAGGCCCACCAAGGCGACGAUCCGUAGCUGGUCUGAGAGGAUGAUCAGCCACACUGGGACUGAGACACGGUCCAGACUCCUACGGGAGGCAGCAGUGGGGAAUAUUGGACAAGGGGCGCAAGCCUGAUCCAGCCAUACCGCGUGGGUGAAGAAGGCCUCCGGGUUGUAAAGCCCUUUUGUUGGGAAAGAAAAGCAGCAGGUUAAUACCCCGCUGUUCUGACGGUACCCAAAGAAUAAGCACCGGCUAACUUCGUG